CGGCGGACGGGUGAGUAAUGCUUGGGAAUAUGCCUUUAGGUGGGGGACAACAGUUGGAAACGACUGCUAAUACCGCAUAAUGUCUACGGACCAAAGGAGGGGCUCUUCGGACCUUUCGCCUUUAGAUUAGCCCAAGUGAGAUUAGCUAGUAGGUAAGGUAAUGGCUUACCUAGGCGACGAUCUCUAGCUGGUUUGAGAGGAUGAUCAGCCACACUGGGACUGAGACACGGCCCAG
rnacentral:rRNA from 1 species